AUUGAACGCUGGCGGCAGGCCUAACACAUGCAAGUCGAACGGUAACAGGAAGCAGCUUGCUGCUUCGCUGACGAGUGGCGGACGGGUGAGUAAUGUCUGGGAAACUGCCUGAUGGAGGGGGAUAACUACUGGAAACGGUAGCUAAUACCGCAUAACGUCGCAAGACCAAAGAGGGGGACCUUCGGGCCUCUUGCCAUCGGAUGUGCCCAGAUGGGAUUAGCUAGUAGGUGGGGUAACGGCUCACCUAGGCGACGAUCCCUAGCUGGUCUGAGAGGAUGACCAGCCACACUGGAACUGAGACACGGUCCAGACUCCUACGGGAGGCAGCAGUGGGGAAUAUUGCACAAUAGGCGCAAGCCUGAUGCAGCCAUGCCGCGUGUAUGAAGAAGGCCUUCGGGUUGUAAACUACUUUCAGCGGGGAGGAAGGGAGUAAAGUUAAUACCUUUGCUCAUUGACGUUACCCGCAGAAGAAGCACCGGCUAACUCCGUG
rnacentral:rRNA from 1 species